rnacentral:rRNA from 1 species
UAAUACGAAGGGGGCUAGCGUUGCUCGGAAUGACUGGGCGUAAAGGGCGCGUAGGCGGUUCGGACAGUCAGGCGUGAAAUUCCCGGGCUUAACCUGGGGGCUGCGCUUGAUACAUCUGGACUUGAGUGAGGAAGAGGGUCGUGGAAUUCCCAGUGUAGAGGUGAAAUUCGUAGAUAUUGGGAAGAACACCGGUGGCGAAGGCGGCGACCUGGUCCUUGACUGACGCUGAGGCGCGAAAGCGUGGGGAGCAAACAGGAUUAGAUACCCUGGUAGUCCACGCCGUAAACGAUGUGUGCUGGAUGUUGGGUGACCUAGUCACUCAGUGUCGUAGCUAACGCGGUAAGCACACCGCCUGGGGAGUACGGCCGCAAGGUUG